UCACUGUCCUAAGUACUAGCGCCGCAGGAGUGUGGUUUAAGUGUCACCCCUGCAGCCUUGGUGCUUAACACAGGA
rfam:Stegodyphus mimosarum contig57928, whole genome shotgun sequence.